rnacentral:rRNA from 1 species
GACGAACGCUGGCGGCGUGCUUAACACAUGCAAGUCGAACGGAAAGGCCCUGCUUUUGUGGGGUGCUCGAGUGGCGAACGGGUGAGUAACACGUGAGUAACCUGCCCUUGACUUUGGGAUAACUUCAGGAAACUGGGGCUAAUACCGGAUAGGAGCUCCUGCUGCAUGGUGGGGGUUGGAAAGUUUCGGCGGUUGGGGAUGGACUCGCGGCUUAUCAGCUUGUUGGUGGGGUAGUGGCUUACCAAGGCUUUGACGGGUAGCCGGCCUGAGAGGGUGACCGGCCACAUUGGGACUGAGAUACGACCCAGACUCCUACUGGAGGCAGCAGUGUAGAAUAUUCCACAAUGGGCGGAAGCCUGAUGCAGCAACGCCGCGUGCGGGAUGACGGCCUUCGGGUUGUAAACCGCUUUCGCCUGUGACGAAGCGUGAGUGACGGUAAUGGGUAAAGAAGCACCGGCUAACUACGUG